ACCCGUGCUUCUGUAUCUGUAAAUUUGAGAUUCCUUUUUCUGGUACGGGCUGGGAAGGGCUCUGGGAGCCGGGGUCCAAUCCUAUUUGAGGAUCUGAACCUGCUUAAACCUGCUGGGAAACUAAGAACCGACGCCUUUGGAAAUGGGUUCCAGGGGCGAGGCUCUUCCAAUGCGUUUAAGGAACUUCUCUUUUCUUCCACUCCACAUCACCCCUACACCUGUCCCACACUCCAUCUUCAGGGAGCAUGCAGAACGAAGCUGUUUCUCCGCCCCCAGGGUUACUGAGGGGAGGCUGGAGAGAAUGGACGGGCUCCUAAAGGCCGCCAAGGAUGUAGCUCAGAUCUUUGUAUUUGGAUAUUUUGAAACAAAAUGACAGCUGCUUUAGCAACAAGAGAAGUCACCUGUAAUUAUCUGCUUGUGAAAACGUCCACACUGCCACCCAACCAGGUUAACAGACUGUGAUGAUGCCACUCCCACUGUCCCCAGCAGCACCCCAGUGACCACUUCCCUCCCCCAUGUCCUUGUUCUCGUGAUUCCUGGGAUGGUGACUCAGAAGUGUUAAAGAAUCCCGCGAGCCAAGCUGCCUUCAACAAAGCCUCCACCUGCAGGUUCUCCCACGGCGGUAGGAGGGGCUGUUUUCCAGUGUUGCCGCCGGCACGAAAUACCAUCCACCUCCAUAUCUCAACAUCUGAUGAGCAAAAAGCAGUACCCAAUUGUCCCUUAUAUUGUCCUCCACCGAUGGUGAAGCAGAGUAUGUUGUCCUCAGAGAAAUCUGAAAGAAUUAUACUAAAGGGCUUCUUGUACAGUGGAAGCCGCACUGUAUGUGCGUAUUACGAGAUCCAUUUGCGUCCCACACUUAUCUUCUGUCUGCCCUAUGUUGAGACCUGGCCCUAUGGUGCCAAGCCCUGCUCUUAAAUGAGCUUUUGUGCUCAAACCAUUAAAAAGGAAAUCACUGAUGAAGUACCUGCUCCAUGCUGUGGAAACAGUGAAUACUGCCCCAGCCUCACGGUGCUCACCCAGGCCAAGGCGCUGUGAGUCAGCAGGGGGGUGCCCUCAUCACGCCUAACACUGAAUGGGGCAAGGGCACGAGACAGACAGAAGGAAAGGAAGGGAAGAAAGACCACAGCCACUGGAGGUGAGCUAUGAGGACAAGCUGUGUGCUGAAAGAACCACAUCCUAAAAAACCUGUGAAUGUGACUUCAUUUGGAACAAGGGUCUUUGCAGUGGAAUCAAGUUAAGGAUCUUGAAAUGGAAAGAUCAUUCUGGAUUAUCCAGGGCCGGGGUAGGGUACUGAAUACAAUGAUGAGGGACACAGAGGGGAGAGGUGACAGAGGAGGAGGGGUAAGCAGUGAAGACAGAAGCAGAGCUUGGAGUGAUGCAGCUACAAGGAGAGAAGCAGGGAAUGGAUUCUUUCCUGGAACCUCAGGAGGGAGUGUGGCCUUGCCAACACCUUGAUUUUGGACUUCUGUCUUUCAGAAC